rnacentral:rRNA from 1 species
AGUGAACGCUGGCGGUAGGCCUAACACAUGCAAGUCGAACGGCAGCACAGUAAGUGCUUGCGCUUACGGGUGGCGAGUGGCGGGCGGGUGAUGAAAACAUCCGAAUCUACUUUUUCGUGGGGGAUAACGCAGGGAAACUUACGCUAAUACCGCAUACGACGUACGGGUGAAAGCAGGGGAUCUUCGGACCUUGCGCGAUUGAAUGAGCCGAUGUCGGAUUAGCUAGUUGGCGGGGUAAAGGCCCACCAAGGCGACGAUCCGUAGCUGGUCUGAGAGGAUGAUCAGCCACACUGGAACUGAGACACGGUCCAGACUCCUACGGGAGGCAGCAGUGGGGAAUAUUGGACAAUGGGCGCAAGCCUGAUCCAGCCAUACCGCGUGGGUGAAGAAGGCCUUCGGGUUGUAAAGCCCUUUUGUUUGGAAAGAAAAGCAGUAGGUUAAUACCUCGCUGUUCUGACGGUACCCAAAGAAUAAGCACCGGCUAACUUCGUG